rnacentral:lncRNA from 1 species
UGUUUUAGGAUAUAAAAUUAAAAAUAGUGUAAACUUUGAAUAUAUUAUAUUUGACUAUUUGCUGUUUGCUAUAGAAAUAGGGGGAAUAUACACACAUCUAGAUUCAACAUAAAAGCAUGAAAAUUUAAAAAUUUAUAAGGGUAUGCUUCAUAUUCAUUCAUUAUAUUUUAAAUAUUAAAAUGCCAUCUACAUUAUAGACAAAUAGUUAUCUCUUCAUUAUAUCANNNNNNNN